rnacentral:rRNA from 1 species
GGGGUGCAAGCUCCGAACUGAAGCCCCAGUAAACGGCGGCCGUAACUAUAACGGUCCUAAGGUAGCGAAAUUCCUUGUCGGGUAAGUUCCGACCUGCACCGAAUGGCGUAACGACUUCCCCGCUGUCUCCAACGCAGACUCAGCCGAAAUUGAAUUCCCCGUGAAGAUGCGGGUUCCCGCGGUCAGACGGAAAGACCCCGUGCACCUUUACUACAGCUUCACACUGGCAUCAGGCCAGGCAUGUGCAGGAUAGGUGGCAGGCUUUGAAACAGGGACGCCAGUUCCUGCGGAGCCGUCCUUGAGAUAUCACCCUUGCCUUGCCUGAUGUCUAACCGCGGACCGUCAUCCGGUUCCGGGACCCUGUGUGGCGGGUAGUUUGACUGGGGCGGUCGCCUCCCAAAAAGUAACGGAGGCGCGCGAUGGUGGGCUCAGGUUGGUCGGAAAUCAACCGUCGAGUGCAAUGGCAUAAGCCCGCCUGACUGCGAGACUGACAAGUCGAGCAGAGACGAAAGUCGGCCAUAGUGAUCCGG